rnacentral:ncRNA from 1 species
UUAAUAGCUAUGAUGAAGAGAGUAGUUUUGGUAUUUUGCACUCAGAGAGAUAAGCCUUGGCUGUAAGCUUAUUUGCAAAUUCAAAAUGAAAUUCACUUUGGAGCUGUGCUCUUGAUAUGUAGAGAGCAUCGGUUGGAACCGUUAUAUUCUUUUGAGCGUUUGCUUAAUUUGGGCAAAAAUCAGGGUGGUACCGCGGAAGUUCGCUUUCGUCCCUUUU